rnacentral:rRNA from 1 species
UACAGAGGGUGCGAGCGUUAAUCGGAAUUACUGGGCGUAAAGCGUGCGUAGACGGUUAUGUAAGUCAGAUGUGAAAGCCCCGGGCUCAACCUGGGAAUUGCAUCUGAGACUGCAUAGCUAGGAUGCGGAAGAGGGCAGUGGAAUUUCCGGUGUAGCGGUGAAAUGCGUAGAUAUCGGAAGGAACAUCAGUGGCGAAAGCGACUGCCUGGUCCAGCAUCGACGUUCAGGCACGAAAGCGUGGGGAGCAAACAGG